GUGUUCGCUUCGGCAGCACUUAUACUCAAAAUUGGAGCGGUACAGAGAAGAUUAGCACGGCCUCUGCGCAAGGAUGACAUGCAAGUUCGUGAAGUGUCCCAUAUAUAA
ensembl:snRNA U6 U6 spliceosomal RNA